UACAGAGGUGGCAAGCGUUGUUCGGAUUUAUUGGGUGUAAAGGGCAGGUAGGCGGUUUUGUAAGUUUGUUGUGAAAUUUCAGGGCUCAACCCUGAAGCUGCAACAAAAACUGCAUAACUUGAGUAUCAGAGAGGUAUGGGGAAUUCCAGGUGUAAGGGUGAAAUCUGUAGAUAUCUGGAGGAAUACCGAUGGCGAAGGCACCAUACUGGCUGAAAACUGACGCUGAACUGCGAAAGCAAGGGGAGCAAACAGG
rnacentral:misc_RNA from 1 species